rnacentral:rRNA from 1 species
GACGAACGCUGGCGGCAUGCUUAACACAUGCAAGUCGAACGCAGCAUCCAAGCUUGCUUGGAUGGCUGAGUGGCAGACGGGUGAGUAACACGUGGGAACUUACCCUUUAGACUGGGACAACCACUGGAAACGGUGGCUAAUACCGGAUACGCCCUGAGGGGGAAAGCAGAAAUGCGCUAAGGGAGAGGCCCGCGGCAGAUUAGGUAGUUGGGGGGGUAAAGGCCUACCAAGCCUGUGAUCUGUAGCUGGUUUGAUAGGAUUAUCAGCCACACUGUGACUGAGACACGGCCCAGACUCCUACGGGAGGCAGCAGUGAGGAAUAUUGGACAAUGGGGGAAACCCUGAUCCAGCAAUGCCGCGUGAAUGAAGAAGGCCUUAGGGUUGUAAAGUUCUUUUGUCCGUGACGAUAAUGACGGUAGCGGACGAAUAAGCCCUGGCUAACUCUGUGCCAGCAGCCGCGGUAACAC